GGCAAAUUGAAUUAGCAGAAGAGUAGUAUGUGGAUUUCAAGAAGCAUUCUUAAAAGAAGGGACAUGUGCUGAAUUUUGUCUCCUGCUCUCUGCAACCAGGUAUGAUGACUGAAUCUCUAGCAGCUAUCUCAAAGCACAAGAACAAGAGCCACAAUUUAUUGGUCCUGAUCUUUACAUUGUAUGAAAGAAAUUUAACUCAAGACUUCAAGAUUUCACUCUUCCGAUGUGUUAAAAUCUCACUCCUGUACCUGCCAGCUGUCAUUCUGAACAUUCUACACAUUCUCCCUAAAGUAUAAGAGAAAAAAAAAAGAUCACCUGAAGCUGGUUUUCCUCAUCACUUCAAAAGGUAUUUAAAUAUUUAUCUUGACAAGUUUGUAAUUAAGAAAGUGUGUAUGU
rnacentral:lncRNA from 1 species